rnacentral:rRNA from 15 species
GAGCUGGGUUCAGAACGUCGUGAGACAGUUCGGUCCCUAUCUGCCGUGGGUGUUGGAGUAUUGAGAGGAUUUGUCCCUAGUACGAGAGGACCGGGAUGAACAUACCUCUGGUGGAGCUGUUGUGGCGCCAGCCGCAGUGCAGCGUAGCUACGUAUGGACGGGAUAACCGCUGAAGGCAUCUAAGCGGGAAACCCACCUCGAAACGAGUACUCCCUUGAGAGCCGUGGAAGACCACCACGUCGAUAGGCCGGGUGUGGAAGCGCAGCAAUGUGUGAAGCUUACCGGUACUAAUAGCUC